GUCACCAACAACAUCAGCCAACUCAUACUUACAAACUGACUUCGACACAUAGCGCAGGUGAUUAGAAAUGCGAUCGUUUCUUUAUUACAAAUUGUAUAUGUACACAAAUGUACAUACAUAGAUCCAUAGAUGUGGCGAUAAGUUACACGAGCUACAACAGCUACUGUUCAAGCCUCUCGGUCCUCGGUUCAAGCUCCAAGCCUCUCUGGUCUGCUGAGUUGCUGAGUAAAUAGCUGGAUUGACCCUCACCAACUAACUAUGACAUGCACACUAGAUAGAAGAGUUCAGCAUGAGCUAGAGACAAAGAGCAAUGUGCAUGUUACAAGGGAAAAAAAAAUAGAAAAAAAAAACAUCUCAAGCACUCAGAGAACGUUGAAUAACUAGGCGUGAAAGGUUAUUGUCUAUUUUUUUUUCUCUUUCUUUCAGCUUGAUAACUGGUACUAACAUGACGAAAGAUUAUUACCGUGAAAGCUCAUAUCAAAGAUUGUAAGCUUAGAUUAAUCUCGAGGUGAAUGCCAGUGAAGCUGGAGUAUUUGAAUGGCAAAAAAACUUUUCAAUUAUCUAUUAAAUAAUAAAAUGACGAUUCAUACUGGUUA